CCAGAGCCAGUGUGGCAGCUGGACCAGUGCGGGAUAUACUUCCCGAAAAACCACUUGGCUGCACUCUGCGUGAUGCAGAACUUCCCCGACAAGGAAUCAAAUGCAUGACCCCUGGACUGGAAGCGCAGAAUCUUAACUACUGGACCGCUGGGGAAGUCCUGGCCAUCAAGGAACUUUGAGGGACAAGAUUUGUCCUGAAGGGGAAAGUCGAUCUCCUGUGGCCGUGAGAAAGAGGAAGCAAGAGCGCCUCUGAGAGUGACUGGACCAUUUUGCAUUCCACCAGCAAUGAGCCAGAGUUCCUGUUGCUGCAAUCCCUCACCAGCAAUU
ensembl:lncRNA